UUUAGUUGCUACGNGAGAGCACUCUAAGGAGACUGCCGGUGACAAACCGGAGGAAGGUGGGGAUGACGUCAAGUCCUCAUGGCCCUUAUGGGUAGGGCUUCACACGUCAUACAAUGGUCGGUACAAAGGGUUGCCAACCCGCGAGGUGGAGCUAAUCCCAUAAAACCGAUCGUAGUCCGGAUUGCAGUCUGCAACUCGAGUGCAUGAAGUUGGAAUCGCUAGUAAUCGCUAUCAGCAUGUCNCGGUAAUACGUC
rnacentral:rRNA from 1 species